GACGAACGCUGGCGGCGUGCUUAACACAUGCAAGUCGAACGAAGAGCGACGGAAGCUUGCUUCUAUCAAUCUUAGUGGCGAACGGGUGAGUAACGCGUAAUCAACCUGCCCUUCAGAGGGGGACAACAGUUGGAAACGACUGCUAAUACCGCAUACGAUCUAACCUCGGCAUCGAGGAUAGAUGAAAGGUGGCCUCUACAUGUAAGCUAUCACUGAAGGAGGGGAUUGCGUCUGAUUAGCUAGUUGGAGGGGUAACGGCCCACCAAGGCGAUGAUCAGUAGCCGGUCCGAGAGGAUGAACGGCCACAUUGGGACUGAGACACGGCCCAGACUCCUACGGGAGGCAGCAGUGGGGAAUCUUCCGCAAUGGACGAAAGUCUGACGGAGCAACGCCGCGUGAGUGAUGACGGCCUUCGGGUUGUAAAGCUCUGUUAAUCGGGACGAAAGGCCUUCUUGCGAAUAGUGAGAAGGAUUGACGGUACCGGAAUAGAAAGCCACGGCUAACUACGUG
rnacentral:rRNA from 1 species